rnacentral:lncRNA from 1 species
UCCCACCUGCCUCGUUGCCAAAUAGGAUUCAAUUCGAGUAUUUCCCCAAGGCAACAUGCUCUCGAAAAUGCAUCCUUCAGUUUCUUUCAUGGAAGACUUUUACAGAAUUUAAGCAUAUAAAAUUAACAGGCAAUAUGCUCGAAAAAACCCAGUUAACACCAACGCCCAGCGAUAUGUGCAAUCACAUUAACAAGUAUCUGAAGACCAC